rnacentral:rRNA from 1 species
UACGGAGGAUGCAAGCGUUAUCCGGAUUUAUUGGGUUUAAAGGGUGCGUAGGCGGGAAAAUAAGCCAGUGGUGAAAUCCUACAGCUUAACUGUAGAAUUUCCGUUGAUACUGUUUUUCUUGAGUAUUGUCAAGGAAGGCGGAAUGUGUAAUGUAGCGGUGAAAUGCUUAGAUAUUACACAGAACACCAAUUGCGAAGGCAGCUUUCUGGCCCAUUACUGACGCUGAGGCACGAAAGCGUGGGGAUCGAACAGGAUUAGAUACCCUGGUAGU